UUCCAGACUCCUACGGGAGGCAGCAGUGGGGGAUAUUGCACAAUGGGGGGAACCCUGAUGCAGCGACGCCGCGUGAGUGAAGAAGUCAUUCGUCAUGUAAAGCUCUAUCAGCAGGGAAGAAUAAAUGACGGUACCUGAGUAAGAAGCCCCGGCUAACUACGUGCCAGCAGCCGCGGUAAUACGUAGGGGGCAAGCGUUAUCCGGAUUUACUGGGUGUAAAGGGAGCGUAGACGGCGAUGCAAGCCAGAUGUGAAAGCCCGCGGCUCAACUGCGGUAGUGCAUUUGGAACUGUAUGGCUGGAGUGCAGGAGAGGCAGGCGGAAUUCCUAGUGUAGCGGUAAAAUGCGUAGAUAUUAGGAGGAACACCAGUGGCGAAGGCGGCCUGCUGGACUGUAACUGACGUUGAGGCUCGAAAGCGUGGGGAGCAAACAGGAUUAGAUACCCGUGUA
rnacentral:rRNA from 1 species